rnacentral:rRNA from 1 species
UGGGGAAUAUUGCACAAUGGGCGCAAGCCUGAUGCAGCCAUGCCGCGUGUGUGAAGAAGGCCUUCGGGUUGUAAAGCACUUUCAGCGAGGAGGAAGGUGGUGAACUUAAUACGUUCAUCAAUUGACGUUACUCGCAGAAGAAGCACCGGCUAACUCCGUGCCAGCAGCCGCGGUAAUACGGAGGGUGCAAGCGUUAAUCGGAAUUACUGGGCGUAAAGCGCACGCAGGCGGUUUGUUAAGUCAGAUGUGAAAUCCCCGGGCUCAACCUGGGAACUGCAUUUGAAACUGGCAAGCUAGAGUCUCGUAGAGGGGGGUAGAAUUCCAGGUGUAGCGGUGAAAUGCGUAGAGAUCUGGAGGAAUACCGGUGGCGAAGGCGGCCCCCUGGACGAAGACUGACGCUCAGGUGCGAAAGCGUGGGGAGCAAACAGAUUAGAUACCCUGGUAGUCCACGCUGUAAACGAUGUCGAUUUUGGAGGUUGUGCCCUUGAGGCGUGGCUUCCGGAGCUAACGCGUUAAAUCGACCGCCUGGGGAGUACGGCCNCAAGGUUAAAACUU